CAUAAGAAUCAGGGAGCCUGCCCCAAAUCACUUCCUAUUAUAAUUUUCCACAAAGACUGGAGGGGAGGCUUAGAACAUCUUCCUGCAGUGUCCAGCAAGAGAGUGAGGCAGGCUCCCUUUCUCCUGCCAAAGCCACGUGGAGCCAGACAGAACCACAAGCAUACCUGUGGUGCUUGGAGGCCCAAGUAGAAACUUGAAUGCUCACGGCUGCAUUGGCAGCUUCUACUUGCCUGCCUGGAUCACUGUUCCUCAUGAGAACCUGGAAAAGCAGGACUAUCAUGCUUGCUUGACAGACGAAGAAACCAAGCCUCAGAGUUGAGAGCAGUGCUGUGCAGAUGUUUUGUAGGCUCCUACCAGUGAAAGUCUCAUCACAACUCUCUUCUCUCCAAGCUCUCUGAGGCUUCAUCAGAAGUUGAGCAGAUGCCAGCACCAUGCCUCCUGUAAAGUCUGCAGAACUGUGAGGCAAUUAAACCUCUUUUCUUUAUAUAUAACUGUCUCAGGUAUUUCUUUAUAGCAAUGCAAGAAUGGCUUAACACAUAAAAUUGGUACCAGCAGUGGAACAUUGCUGUGUCAGGUCUCUGAGCCCAAGCUAAGCCAUCAUAACCCCUGUGACCUGCAUGUAUACAUCCAGAGGGCCUGGAGCAACUGAAGAACCAUAAAAGAUGACAUUCCACCGUGGUGAUUUGUUCCUGCCCCACCCCAACUAAUUAAUCAACCUUGUGACAUUCCUCCCCUGUACAAUGAGUCUCAUAAUCUCCCCAUCCUGCAUGUUGUGACCCCUGCCCCUGCCUGCAAGAGAUAACCACCUUUAACUGUAAUUUUCUACUACCUACCCAAAUCCUAUAAAACUACCCCACCCCUAUCUCCCUUGGCUGACUCCAUUUUUGGACUCAGCCUGCCUGCAACCAGGCAAUUAAAAAGCUCUAUUGCUCACACAAAGCCUGUUUGGUGGUCUCUUCACAUGGAUUCGCAUGACGUUUGGUGCUGAAGACCUGGGACAGGGGUCUCCUUUGGGGGACGGGUCCCCUGUCCUCACCCUCUCUUCGUGAGGAGAUCCACCUACAACCUCGGGUCCUUAGAACAGCCCAAGGAACAUCUUACCAAUUUUAAAUCAGAGACAGAGGAGAUGCGUUUUAUCUGUGAACUCAAAACUCCAGCACUGGUCAUGGAAUCGAAAAGAUAGUCUUCCUUUGGUGUCUAAUCACUGCGGGGAUGCCUGCCUGAUUAUUCACCCACAUUCAAGAUGUGUCUGAUCACCGCAGGGAUGCCUGCCUUGUUCCUUCACCUUGGUGGCGAGUACCACCUCCCCUGGGUGGCACAUACCACCUCCCUCCCUCUAUGUCUCUACCCUCUGUUUUCUCUAAAUUUACCUUUUUACUAUGGGCAACUUUUCCUCUUUCUUCUCCCUUAGCCUGUGUUCCAAAAAACUUAAAAUGUCUUCAACUCUCCCCUGAUCUAAAACCUAAGCCUCUUAUUUUCUUCUGUAACACCGCUUGGCCCCAGUACAAACUCGACAAUGGUUCUAAAUGGCCAGAAAAUGACACUUUUAAUUUCUCCAUCCUAAAAGAUCUAGAUAAUUUUUGUCGUAAAAUGGGCCAUUUGGUCUGAGGUGCCUGAUGUCCAGGCAUUCUUUUACAUAUUGGUCCCUCCCUAGUAUCUGCUCCCAAUGCGACUCAUACCAAAUCUUUCUUUUUUCACUCCUGUCUGUUCCUUCAGUCUCCACCCCAAGCUCUGAGUCCUUUGAAUCCUCCUUUUCUAUGGACCUAUCUGGCCUCUCCCCUCCUCUCCAGGCUGCCCCUCGCCAGGCCGAGCCAGGUCCCAAUUCUUCCUCAACCUCCACUUCCCCACCCUAUAAUCCUUCUAUCACCUCCCCUCCUCACACCCGGUCCAGCUUAUAGUUUUGCUCCAUGACUAGCCCUCCCAACAAUUUCCUUUUAGAGAGGUGACUGGGGCUGAAGGUAUAGUCAAGGUUAAUUCUCCUUUUCUUUAUCCAACCUCUCCCAAAUCAGUUAGCAUUUAGGAUCUUUUUCAUCAACUAUAAAACCCAGUCCAGUUCAUGGCCCGUUUGGCAACAAUCCUUAGAUGCUUUACUGCUCUGGCCCCAGAGGGACCAGAAGGCCGUCUUAUUCUCAAUAUGCAUUUUAUUACCCAAUCUGCUCCUGUCAUUAGAAAAAGCUCCAAAAAUUAGAUUCCAGUCCUCAAACCCCACAACAGGAUUUAAUUAACCUCGCCUUCAAGGUGUACAAUAAUAGAGAAGAGGCAGUCAAGCAACAACAUAUUUCUGAGUUGCAAUUAGUUGCCUCUGCUCUGAGAGAAACCCCAGUCACAUCUACAGCACACAAGAACUUCAAAACACCUAAACCACAGUGGCCAGGCAUUCCUCCAGGACCUCCUCCCCCAGGAUCUUGCUUCAAGUGCUGGAAAUCUGGCCACUGGGCCAAGGAAUGCCCACAGCCCAGGAUUCCUCCUAAGCUAUGUCCCAUCUGUGCGGGACCCCACCGGAAAUCAGACUACUUGCCCGGCAGCCACUGCCAGAGCUCCUGGAACUCUAGCCCAAGCCUCUCGGAUUGAUUCCUUUCCAGGUCUUCUCAGCUUAGCGGCUGAAAGCUGACACUGCUCAAUCACCUCAGAAGCCUCCUGGACCAUCAUAGAUGCUUUGGAAGACAGGAAUGUCAGGCCUGAGCCCAAGCUAAGCCAUCAUAACCCCUGUGACCUACACGUAUACAUCCAGAGGACCUGGAGCAACUGAAGAACCACAAAAGAUGACAUUCCAGCAUUGUGAUUUGUUCCUGCCACACCCCAAUGAAUCAGUCGACCUUGUGACAUUCCUCCCCUGGACAAUGAGUCUCAUGAUCUCCCCAUCCUGCACCUUGUGAUCCCUGCCUCUGCCCACAAGAGAUAACCACCUUUAACUGUAAUUUUCCACUAGCUACCCAAAUCCUAUAAAAGUGCCCCACCUCUAUCUCCCUUUGCUGACUCUUUUUGGACUCAACCCACUUGCACACAAGUGAAAUAAACAGCCUUGCUGCUCA